rnacentral:rRNA from 1 species
GCGUAACGCGUGGGAAUCUGCCCUUGAGUUCGGAAUAACAGUUAGAAAUGACUGCUAAUACCGGAUGAUGUCUUCGGACCAAAGAUUUAUCGCCCAGGGAUGAGCCCGCGUCGGAUUAGCUAGUUGGUGGGGUAAAAGCCUACCAAGGCGACGAUCCGUAGCUGGUCUGAGAGGAUGAUCAGCCACACUGGGACUGAGACACGGCCCAGACUCCUACGGAAGGCAGCUAGUGGGGAAUAUUGGACAAUGGGCGAAAGCCUGAUCCAGCAAUGCCGCGUGAGUGAUGAAGGCCUUAGGGUUGUAA